GUCGAUGGGAGGAGAGGAAAAAUACACGGUGAGUUCCCUACCCAUGUAUGGCAGAUGAACACGGGAGAUUUGGAUCUCUUGUGAGUGACAGGCGUUGUAGGUUUUCCGGAUUAAGGAGAUCCCUAGAGAGCAGUUGAAACAGGUGGUUUUUAGU
ensembl:snoRNA Y102A11A.16 ncRNA